UGAAAUUAAUAAAUCUAAAAUGGUGAUUAAGGAAGGAUUACUGUGCAUCUUUGAAAGUCAUUCAAUUCCUUAAUUAAAAACGACCAAUAUGCUGCGGUUCACCCUUAACAUCAUGUUUUUAACCAACGACAUCAUGGGUAGUAAAAUAAGUAAAACCAUAUUCAUAUUCUUUCUUAAUUUUCUCAAUUUUGAUCGUAUUUCGUUUUUUUCCACAACACCAGAUAUUAAAAUCGAUAAAGAACUUUUUCCAUCCGCAGUUGGGAGUACAUCAUUCCUACUUCGAUAUACUUUUGAAAGAGAAAAGUGAACCGAUUGGAAUUGUUUCGACAACACGAAUUUUACUUCUAGGUCAUAUAUUUAUGGCGAUGCCAAACAACAAUAUUGUUGAGACAGUAAGUUAAGCAAAUGGCUAAAUAAAUCCAAGACUGUUGUUGAGUGCUGUGGAUCUCAAUAUUAUCAGUAUCUACUCUUCUCGAUGAUCCUGUAAAUUUUUGUUAUCUUUUUUUAUUUGCAGUUACUGAUAAUACUAGCAUUUUGCAUGCUUUUUUUUAUUUGGAUGUUCUUCCAAUUGAUCAAUACAGUAACUUUAGAACUAUCAUCGCUAUGCCUUUAAAUGACCGCACUAAAAGCAUGGUACCAAAGCUCGAACAUAGAAAGAAAUCCAGAAAGGGAUUUAAAGAUUGACUUUUUCGACAAACUUCAUGUUACAAGUCUUAUCGUUUGUGUUUAUAAAUCAUCAGCCUCUCUCUAUAUCUCUAUAUCUCUAUAUAUCAGAUAUAAAGAUGCGAGUUUUGAAGUAGACAUUCCGCACAAAGUCUAGUACACCAUGUCUCUUGUGCUCAGGCUGGUUGUCCUGCAAAAAUGUACAACAGGCAAAUGGAUGUUUCAUCAAAGAUGGACUCCUUUGCCUCAUACUUAUUGAUGGCGAAGCUAGAUCCGUUAUCAUCUUGAGAAAACACAUCAUCGUCGUACUACAUUUUUUUUCUUACUCAUUGCUUGUUUAUCUACUACGAUUAAACUAUUACAAAGGAUAUCCAGGAAGAUGAUACACAAUGAAAACCGAUAUGUGGGUUGCAAAAGAUAAGCAGUCACCGCAAGAUAGAGU